rnacentral:rRNA from 1 species
CUACGGGGUGCUGCAGUGAGGAAUAUUGCACAAUGGGGGAAACCCUGAUGCAGCAACGCCGCGUGGAGGAUGACGCAUUUCGGUGUGUAAACUCCUUUUAUGAGUCAAGAAAAUGACGGUAGCUCAUGAAUAAGCACCGGCUAACUCCGUGCCAGCAGCCGCGGUAAUACGGAGGGUGCAAGCGUUACUCGGAAUCACUGGGCGUAAAGGACGCGUAGGCGGGAUGUCAAGUCAGGUGUGAAAUCCUAUGGCUCAACCAUAGAACUGCACUUGAAACUGGCAACCUAGAGUAUGGGAGGGGGAGAUGGAAUUAGUGGUGUAGGGGUAAAAUCCGUAGAUAUCACUAGGAAUACCGAAAGCGAAGGCGAUCUCCUGGAACAUUACUGACGCUAAGGCGUGAAAGCGUGGGGAGCAAACAGGAUUAGAUACCCCCGUAGUC